UCUGUUCUUAGAACGCCUAUUACAAACAUUGAUCAUUUGAGUGUGCAAUUACCAGACAUCAAUGCAUCAAAAGUUCAAUGGGCUCUGCAGUGCUUCAGUGGCAUUAAGAAAACAUACUGGAUUACUUGCAAUGUUGACCCCGACAUACAACAAUUAUCUUUGGAUAGGAGAAGAUACCCAAGCAGUUUUGCGGUGAGGCCUCGUGAUCUGAGCAGAUUGCUUGCAAAUUUUCAGUCAUCUCUUCAGGAAAUUACUAUCAUUGCAACGGAACACAACUCUGAUCCUUCUGACAUUGCAAGUGAAUUUGGUGGGAAAGCUAUUGAGUUUUGAAGCUACAUUGAUCCUCCCAAAGGUAGAGAUUAACUUUAUUCUUUUCAAUUGAAUAUGGAGAAGAAUAUCAUGGUUCAGAUUCUGGUUGCAGAGAAUGACUCUUUACUGCACACUCAGCUGUGGAUAGAUCCUGGAGAAGAGUUUGUGCAUUAUGCUCAUAACGGCAGCCCAGUAGACGUGACUUUUGCUGUCAAAGGGUUAAAUGUGUUCCAUCUGAUUCUUUUUUUAUUAUAUUAUCUAUCAGGACAUUUGGGUUAUAAAUGCAGCUAAAAGUUCCCGAACAUAUGACUUCACUUUCAACUUAGCUCCAUUUCCUUAAAAUGAGUCCAUUUAGUUGCUGAAAUGCUAUUAAAGCCACAUUCAGGACCAUCUUUUAUGUCGAAGUUUUUCCUUGUGUUUUCCUGUGAACUUGAUAAUAUUUAAACUCUGUCCAUCUCAUAAAAAUCCAGGAAUUUCUUGCAUUCUGUGAGGGAUGUGAAGUGGACAUGCAUCUGUACUUUGAGAGGGCAGGCGAGUAAGUAAAUUCUGAAUGCUCUUUUGACUCUUACCUUCUAUUAAUUUUUUUCCAUGCUUCACUUCAAUUGAUUGCGCAACUUUAUCUUGGAGUCUUGCAAAAUUUUACUCUUAACUCAUGCAUUGAGAAGGAAAAAGUUUUGGCAGAAAUCAAUAUAUGUCCUACCAAACCUGUAAGCAUUUCUGUUUUUCCACUAUUUAGAGCGACUGUCCAUCUGAUACCACAGACAAGCUGGAGCAAAACUAUUUUCCCCUUUUUACUCGACUGUGAACCCUGAGGAUGUGUUGCACUUGCACAUACCUGUGCAGGUACCUAUUUCUGGAAGACUGAACUCACAUGCCUUUCUUGGGCUCUCAUUAUCAAUUCAAUUGGUCUGCUUGUAUCAAGUCGUUUGUUAGUGGUUCUAGAUGUUUUUUAGAGGCAAAGUUACUGAACAAGAUUGUCACUUACAUAUCACUAA